GUGAAUCAUCGAAUUUUUGAACGCAAAUUGCACUCUCUUCGGUGAGUAGGCCUGUUUGAGGGUCAGCCUAAAAAGAUCGACAUAGUUGCUGUUUCGCGGUGACAUUCGUCGGAAAUCUGGUCAUCUUAUAGCUUUAAGUUUUAAGCGGCUUAAAAUUUUCUUUACGAUUCCACGAACGUUUCUCAGAUUUACUUACAAGUUUAUGGUAUCGAUCUUUAUUAGACGUGGCCGUUGCAUCGGAUUG
rnacentral:misc_RNA from 1 species